rnacentral:misc_RNA from 1 species
UAAUACCAAAAAAAAGGGGGAAACUGACAAAAAGAUGAACUUCCCCCUCUCUGUGCUCCAUUUUCAAAUCAGAAUCAUUUCUCACCUUUCUAUUUCCGCUACCCAAUUACCUCUCACACGCUUACAACAUGAAUCAAUCUCAAUCAUCAUCCUCAUCAAAAUCCCAUACCCACAAAUCCAAAUCCUCCACUGGAUGCCCUGAGACUAUAACGAUCCAAA